GGCCCUGUAGCUCAACUGGAUAGAGCACCCGCCUUCUAAGCGGGUGGUUGCGUGUUCGAGUCACGCCAGGGUCGCCA
rnacentral:tRNA from 5 species